rnacentral:misc_RNA from 1 species
GUGAAGAACGCAGCGAAAUGCGAUACUUGGUGUGAAUUGCAGAAUCCCGCGAAUCAUCGAGUUUUUGAACGCAAGUUGCGCCCGAAGCCAUUCGGCCGAGGGCACGUCUGCCUGGGUGUCACGCAUCGUUGCCCCCCCAAACUCCGGUUCGGGCGGGGCGGAAGUUGGCCUCCCGUGCGUGCCUGCGCGCGCGGUUAGCCCAAAAGCGAGUCCUCGGCGACGAGCGCCACGACAAUCGGUGGUUUUUUUACCCUCGUUCCUCGUCGUGCGUGUCCCGUCGCCCGAACGCGCUCUUGUGACCCUCACGCGUCGCCUCGGCGGCGCUCCCAACGCGACCCCAGGUCAGGCGGGACUACCCGCUGAGUUUAAGCAUAUCAAUAAGCGGAGGA